GGGAGAAACCGGAGAGAGGACUAGGAAUACAGAAUAGUAGUAAUAUUGUGAACACGCUGACGUUGAUGCGCGAAAACGUGGGAGCAAAGAGGAUUUAGACCUUGGUGGUCCACGCCAUAUAUGAGGAUUGCUAGUCGUCGGGAGAAUCUCCUUUCGGUGUGCAGUUAACACAUAAACAGUAUCGCAUGGGGAGUACGGUCGCAAGAUAAAGAUCAAAGAUAAGGACGGGGACCCGGCCAAGUGGUGGAGCAUGUGCUUUAAUUCGAAGAUACGCGAGGAACCUCCCUAGCCUUGACAUAUAUUAGAAGUAGGUAGAGAGUCAGAGGUGCCUUAGGAAGCUUUUACAGAGAUGCUACACGGCUAUCGUCAGUUUGUGUCGUGAGAAGUGGGGUAAAAUCCCGCGGCGAGCGCAACCCUCGUUGUUAGUUAGGAACAGUUUGGCGGAGGAUGUUAAGAAGACUGCCUUGGUAAGGCGGGGGGGGGUGUGGGCGAUGUCUAGGUCUCAUGGCCCCUGCGCAUAGGGCCACGCAGGUUAUUCAAUGCACCGGACAAUAGGCCGCAAUUCCCCGAGGUGGAGCUCAUACAUAAACUUGGUCUCAGGUCGGAUUUUAGUAGAUAACACACUACAUGAAGCUGGAAUCACUAGUAAUCGUAGAUCAGUUAUAAACGGUCCCCCGUUCCCGGGUAGAUUCCCCACCGCCCGUCACCCCAUGGGAGUUGAUUUCACCGGAAGCGGUGAAGUUAAACUGGCUACCGUCCACGGUGGAAUUAGCGUUUGGUGUGAAGCGGGAUCAA
rnacentral:rRNA from 1 species